GGUUAAAUGGCUGAUAAUAGGCAAUAAAUUGUAAAUUUAUUUAUAAGAAUUUUUCUUUUUAACCA
rnacentral:tRNA from 1 species